AUAUCAUCAGCAAUCAAUCCACAUCAGUUGCAUAGUUUCCAGAUAUCUAUUUCUAAUUAAAUGUUUAGCUAAAUGGACAACCAAGAAAGGAUUCAUCAAAGAACUUCUUUUUACCUAUACAUUGCCCAUUACGUAUAUUAAUGUGACAUAUGAUAACCGUGGAAGGGCUUUCAUGAAAAACUAAAAUACUGCUAUAACUGGAAACUUUACUUAAUAAUAUUUUUUUUUUCCAUCCCAGCAACGCAGUGGAGAGUCUGUUAAAGUCCACCAAUUAGACGUGGCAAUCCCAUUGCACUUGAAGAGCCAGCUAAAGAAAGGAACUUCACUCUGUACUGGGGAAGGAGAUACAGAGUCUAGUGAUACUAUGCCAUUUGUCAUGCUCACACGAAGAGGCAACAAGCAGCAG